AGUGAACGCUGGCGGUAGGCCUAACACAUGCAAGUCGAACGGCAGCUCAGAGGAGCUUGCUCCUUGGGUGGCGGGUGGCGGACGGGUGAGGAAUACAUCGGAAUCUACUCUGUCGUGGGAGAUAACGUAGGGAAACUUACGCUAAUACCGCAUACGACCUACGGGUGAAAGCAGGGGAUCUUCGGACCUUGCGCGAUUGAAUGAGCCGAUGUCGGAUUAGCUAGUUGGCGGGGUAAAGGCCACCAAGGCGACGAUCCGUAGCUGGUCUGAGAGGAUGAUCAGCCACACUGGAACUGAGACACGGUCCAGACUCCUACGGGAGGCAGCAGUGGGGAAUAUUGGACAAUGGGCGCAAGCCUGAUCCAGCCAUACCGCGUGGGUGAAGAAGGCCUUCGGGUUGUAAAGCCCUUUUGUUGGGAAAGAAAUCCAUCUGGUUAAUACCCGGGUGGGAUGACGGUACCCAAAGAAUAAGCACCGGCUAACUUCGUGCCAGCCGCCGCCGUAA
rnacentral:rRNA from 1 species